ACCAGACUCCUACGGGAGGCAGCAGUGGGGGAUAUUGCACAAUGGGGGGAACCCUGAUGCAGCGACGCCGCGUGGGUGAAGAAGCGCCUCGGCGCGUAAAGCCCUGUCAGCAGGGAAGAAAAUGACGGUACCUGAAGAAGAAGCCCCGGCUAACUACGUGCCAGCAGCCGCGGUAAUACGUAGGGGGCAAGCGUUAUCCGGAUUUACUGGGUGUAAAGGGGGCGCAGACGGCGAUGCAAGCCAGGAGUGAAAGCCCGGGGCCCAACCCCGGGACUGCUCUUGGAACUGUUUUGCUGGAGUAUGGGAGGGGUAAGCGGAAUUCCUGGUGUAGCGGUGAAAUGCGUAGAUAUCAGGAGGAACACCGGUGGCGAAGGCGGCUUACUGGACCAUAACUGACGUUGAGGCUCGAAAGCGUGGGGAGCGAACAGGAUUAGAUACCCUCGUAA
rnacentral:rRNA from 1 species